UACGUAGGGGCCUAGCGUUGUCCGGAUUUAUUGGGCGUAAAGAGCUCGUAGGCGGUUUGGUUAGUCAGGUGUGAAAUCUCCACGCUCAACGUGGAGGGGCCACCUGAUACUGCCAUGACUUGAGUCCGGUAGGGGAGUGUGGAAUUCCCGGUGUAGCGGUGAAAUGCGUAGAUAUCUGGAGGAACACCGGUGGCGAAGGCGACUACCUGGCUGUUCUUGACGCUGAGGCGCGAAAGCGUGGGGAGCGAACAGG
rnacentral:rRNA from 1 species